AUUGAACGCUGGCGGCAGGCCUAACACAUGCAAGUCGAGCGAGCGGCGGACGGGUGAGUACUGUCUGGGAAACUGCCUGAUGGAGGGGGAGAACUACUGGAAACGGUAGCUAAUACCGCAUACCAUCAGAUGUGCCCAGACGGGAUUAGCUAGUAGGUGGGGUAAUGGCUCACCUAGGCGACGAUCCCUAGCUGGUCUGGGAGGAUGACCAGUCACACUGGAACUGAGACACGGUCCAGACUCCGACGGGAGGAAUCAGUGGGGAAUAUUGCACAAUGGGCGCAAGCCUGAUCCAGCCAUGCCGCGUGUGUGAAGAAGGCCUUCGGGUUGUAAAGCACUUUCAGCGGGUAGGCGUUACCCGCAGAAGAAGCACCGGCUAACUCCGUGCCAGCAGCCGCGGUAAUAC
rnacentral:rRNA from 1 species